rnacentral:rRNA from 1 species
GAUGAACGCUGGCGGCGUGCCUAAUACAUGCAAGUCGAGCGAACAGACGAGGAGCUUGCUCCUCUGACGUUAGCGGCGGACGGGUGAGUAACACGUGGAUAACCUACCUAUAAGACUGGGAUAACUUCGGGAAACCGGAGCUAAUACCGGAUAAUAUAUUGAACCGCAUGGUUCAAUAGUGAAAGACGGUUUUGCUGUCACUUAUAGAUGGAUCCGCGCCGCAUUAGCUAGUUGGUAAGGUAACGGCUUACCAAGGCAACGAUGCGUAGCCGACCUGAGAGGGUGAUCGGCCACACUGGAACUGAGACACGGUCGAGACUCCUACGGGAGGCAGCAGUAGGGAAUCUUCCGCAAUGGGCGAAAGCCUGACGGAGCAACGCCGCGUGAGUGAUGAAGGUCUUCGGAUCGUAAAACUCUGUUAUUAGGGAAGAACAAAUGUGUAAGUAACUAUGCACGUCUUGACGGUACCUAAUCAGAAAGCCACGGCUAACUACGUG